UGAAGCGUCCUGCGCUGAAGAAAUCAGCUUUGCUGUUUUUUUUUACAGGUCAUGUGGUUCAGAAGAGCUGUUCUGGGAGGUCUGGCUACGUGUACCGUUCUGAACGUAUUAUGGUGUUGGGCAGUGUUAGAGAUUGUUCCCCAGAUGGCUGUCGAGUCCGUCCUGGAGGAGAGGCCCUUAAAUACCAGCGCGGUCCGGAUAGAGACCACUCCACCGACACACACAUUUAUCUACUCCAACAUCUCCCUGGAGAAUUCUGAAAAGGCUGGAGAAAUCGCAACCAUACCUCUAACAAAGGUA
rnacentral:lncRNA from 1 species